GACGAACGCUGGCGGCGUGCCUAAUACAUGCAAGUAGAACGCUGAAGGAGGAGCUUGCUUCUCUGGAUGAGUUGCGAACGGGUGAGUAACGCGUAGGUAACCUGCCUGGUAGCGGGGGAUAACUAUUGGAAACGAUAGCUAAUACCGCAUAAGAGUAGAUGUUGCAUGACAUUUGAUUAAAAGGUGCAAUUGCAUCACUACCAGAUGGACCUGCGUUGUAUUAGCUAGUUGGUGGGGUAACGGCUUACCAAGGCGACGAUACAUAGCCGACCUGAGAGGGUGAUCGGCCACACUGGGACUGAGACACGGCCCAGACUCCUACGGGAGGCAGCAGUAGGGAAUCUUCGGCAAUAGACGGAAGUCUGACCGAGCAACGCCGCGUGAGUGAAGAAGGUUUUCGGAUCGUAAAGCUCUGUUGUAAGAGAAGAACGAGUGUGAGAGUGGAAAGUUCACACUGUGACGGUAUCUUACCAGAAAGGGACGGCUAACUACGUG
rnacentral:rRNA from 1 species